rnacentral:rRNA from 1 species
UACGUAGGGUGCGAGCGUUAAUCGGAAUUACUGGGCGUAAAGUGUGCGCAGCCGGCGUCGCAAGUCGAGUGUGAAAGCCCCGGGCUUAACUUGGGAAUUGCGCUCGAAACUACGAUGCUGGAGUAUGGCAGAGGAAGGUGGAAUUCCGGGUGUAGUGGUGAAAUGCGUAGAGAUCCGGAGGAACACCAGUGGCGAAGGCGACACGCUGGGCCGUACCUGACACUGAUGCGCGACAGCAUGGGGAGCAAACAGG